AUGAACGCUGGCGGCGUGCCUAAUACAUGCAAGUCGCGCGAACAGACGAGGAGCUUGCUCCUCUGACGUUAGCGGCGGACGGGUGAGUAACACGUGGAUAACCUACCUAUAAGACUGGGAUAACUUCGGGAAACCGGAGCUAAUACCGGAUAAUAUAUUGAACCGCAUGGUUCAAUAGUUAAAGACGGUUUUGCUGUCACUUAUAGAUGGAUCCGCGCCGCAUUAGCUAGUUGGUAAGGUAACGGCUUACCAAGGCGACGAUGCGUAGCCGACCUGAGAGGGUGAUCGGCCACACUGGAACUGAGACACGGCCCAGACUCCUGCGGGAGGCAGCAGUAGGGAAUCUUCCGCAAUGGGCGAAAGCUUGACGGAGCAACGCCGCGUGAGUGAUGAAGGUCGUCGGAUCGUAAAACUCUGUUAUUAGGGAAGAACAAAUGUGUAAGUAACUAUGCACGUCUUGACGGUACCUAAUCAGAAAGCCACGGCUAACUACGUG
rnacentral:rRNA from 1 species